rnacentral:tRNA from 1 species
UAAAUAAUAAUAUAAUAGGUAAUUAUAUUUUACUUAGAGUUAUUAAUUAUUAUUAAUUAUUANNAAAAUANNAAAAGGUAUUAUAUAAGUUAAUUAAUANUNAAAAAAACUUUUUACUUAUAAUAAUAAAAUAAUUAAACUAAAAAACUAAUUAUUUUAAAAUAUAAAUUUAAGGUUAUUUAAAAGUAAUUUAACUUAAUAUUAUAAAUAUAUUAAAAUAUAAUCUAGUAUUAAAGUACCUAUAAUUAAU